CCCUCCCUCCCAGACCCUCCCAACUCCUGGACCGCAUCCAUUUUGAAGCUGCAUUCUUAGUGAGCUGUCCAGGAGGUGGGAGGGUCUGGGAGGGAGGG
rnacentral:miRNA from 1 species